UAGGAGAAAAGGAGAGAUGAAGUAGCAGCGUAGACUCGUCUGUAAUCUAACGUGUUACCUGUCUUAUGUCAAUCAUUUAAUUCCUGUGUUGUCUUUUCGUUGUUAUCAAACUCACGAGCCAAUCAGAGUAAACUCACUGUGGAAGAGGCGGGACUAGUGGCGCAGGUUAGUUUGGUGCGUAGUGAGCAUGCGUCAGAAGAGACGGAGUCGCUGUCGACCAGAGAGCUGAGAGGAGGCAUCGUGUUGUGGAGAGUAUUUAAGUUUUAUCCCGGAGGUCGACUGCUCUGUGUGACCUGCAACAGGUGAAUAUGGAGGCUGACGCUGGAGAAGGAGAGAGGUCGAGACGGUUUCCAACAGACGGCCCUGCUGUUCUUCCUUGUGACUUCGCAGCUGUGCGCCAUCGCCUGCGUGUGUGCUUGAACUGUGACCGCCAUGCUUGUCCCCUUCUAUCCCCACUGACAAACUCUGGAUUCUGUUUCUUGGCUUCGUCUCAGAGAAACUCAAGGGUAGAGCCAGAAUACACUGGAGGAUUGAAUGUCCCAUCAGACCUGGGAGGUUGCGGCUGAGGGAAGAAUGCUAUCUGUCUAAGCCUGCUGCCACUUCGGGUCAGACUCUGGCAUCACCUGGUGACUGGGCAAAACCUCAGACACAAGAAAGCAACUAAGCAACAACUUCUGGGUGCAAGUCUUGAUACAGCAAACUGUAUCCUUCCCACAGGACCCUCAUCUUGUGUGGACAGAGGGGAACCUCCAUCGUUUGGCUGUGUUUUACCAACAGGAAACCGGAGGUCAAUUUUACAUCUUGUCCACUGUCACCCUUCUCACCCUUUGGACCAGGAUCACCUGAAAAACAAAAAGCACAGGAAGGGACAUCAGCUACACUUGCAGCCCAGGAUGUCCAACCUCUCCACAGGGGCCAGCAGGUCCUCUGGGGCCCUUUUGGGCAGGGGCAUAAGUUGGGCAGGGGGAGACUCGUCCCUUCUCCCCCUUUGGACCAGCUGGUCCAACACAUCCUUUUGGUCCUGGAGGCCCACUGGGACCGGUAUAACCGUCAGGACCCCGAUUACCAGGGAAGCCAACAAAUCCAGCAGGUCCUUUUUGACCAGGUGGUCCUGGAGGUCCUGGUUUGCCGACAGGCCCGGCGGGUCCUGGUAGACCUACGAUGCCAGGGGCUCCAUUGAUGCCUGGAUACCCUGGCUUACCAGUAGCUCCUCGUACACCUUUAGCUCCUGUAGAGACAGCGUGUUUCAAGGCAAACCUUUAUCUCCUCUCAGCCCCGGAGCCCCUGGGACUCCUGGAGACCCUGGAGAUCCCAAGACACCCACAGGGCCUGGAACACCCCUCAGUUCAAGAGGAGGCCCACAAGCACAGUCACCACGACUACCUGGAACACAGGUAGAAUAAGUUCUCCAGGUGUGGGUCCAUCUUCAUAUACCUGACCCGUAUCUCCUUUGUCCCCUUUGAAUCCUGGUACUCCCCUCAGUCCCACAGUACCCGGAGGUCCUGAUGAGGAACGACACAGAACUUCAUUAAUCAUCAUACAGC